AGGUAAGCUACUAAGAGCGAAUGGUGGAUGCCUUGACUGGUAAAGGCGAUGAAGGACGUACUAGACUGCGAUAAGCUACGGGGAGCUGUCAAGAAGCUUUGAUCCGUAGAUUUCCGAAUGGGGCAACCCAAUGUAUAGAGAUAUACAUUACCUAUAUAGGAGCGAACGAGGGGAAUUGAAACAUCUUAGUACCCUCAGGAAAAGAAAUCAAUAGAGAUUGCGUCAGUAGCGGCGAGCGAAAGCGCAAGAGGGCAAACCCAGUGCUUGCACUGGGGGUUGUAGGACUGCAAUGUGCAAGAGGUAAGUUUAGCAGAACAUUCUGGAAAGUAUAACCAUAGAGGGUGAUAGUCCCGUAUGCGAAAAACAAACCUUAGCUAGCAGUAUCCUGAGUAGGGCGGGACACGAGGAAUCCUGUCUGAAUCCGGGUCGACCACGAUCCAACCCUAAAUACUAAUACCAGAUCGAUAGUGCACAAGUACCGUGAGGGAAAGGUGAAAAGAACUGAGGUGAUCAGAGUGAAAUAGAACCUGAAACCAUUUGCUUACAAUCAUUCAGAGCCCUAUGUAGCAAUACAGGGUGAUGGACUGCCUUUUGCAUAAUGAGCCUGCGAGUUGUGGUGUCUGGCAAGGUUAAGCAAACGCGAAGCCGUAGCGAAAGCGAGUCUGAAUAGGGCGCUUAGUCAGAUGCUGCAGACCCGAAACGAAGUGAUCUAUCCAUGAGCAAGUUGAAGCUAGUGUAAGAACUAGUGGAGGACUGAACCCAUAGGCGUUGAAAAGCC
rnacentral:rRNA from 1 species